rnacentral:rRNA from 1 species
UACGAAGGGGGCUAGCGUUGCUCGGAAUCACUGGGCGUAAAGGGUGCGUAGGCGGGGCUUUAAGUCAGGGGUGAAAUCCUGGAGCUCAACUCCAGAACUGCCUUCGAUACUGGGAGUCUCGAGUCCGAGAGAGGUGAGUGGAACUGCGAGUGUAGAGGUGAAAUUCGUAGAUAUUCGCAAGAACACCAGUGGCGAAGGCGGCUCACUGGCUCGGUAC